rnacentral:rRNA from 1 species
GACGACGCUGGCGGCGUGCUUAUACAUGCAAGUCGAACGCUUCUUUUCCCACCGGAGCUUGCUCCACCGGGAAAAGAGGAGUGGCGAACGGGUGAGUAACACGUGGGUAACCUGCCCAUCAGAAGGGGAUAACACUUGGAAACAGGUGCUAAUACCGUAUAACAAUCGAAACCGCAUGGUUUCGUUUUGAAAGGCGCUUUACGGUGCCGCUGAUGGAUGGACCCGCGGUGCAUUAGCUAGUUGGUGAGGUAACGGCUCACCAAGGCCACGAUGCAUAGCCGACCUGAGAGGGUGAUCGGCCACAUUGGGACUGAGACACGGCCCAAACUCCUACGGGAGGCAGCAGUAGGGAAUCUUCGGCAAUGGACGAAAGUCUGACCGAGCAACGCCGCGUGAGUGAAGAAGGUUUUCGGAUCGUAAAACUCUGUUGUUAGAGAAGAACAAGGGUGAGAGUAACUGUUCACCCCUUGACGGUAUCUAACCAGAAAGCCACGGCUAACUACGUGCCAGCAGCCGCGGUAAUACGUAGGUGGCAAGCGUUGUCCGGAUUUAUUGGGCGUAAAGCGAGCGCAGGCGGUUUCUUAAGUCUGAUGUGAAAGCCCCCGGCUCAACCGGGGAGGGUCAUUGGAAACUGGGAGACUUGAGUGCAGAAGAGGAGAGUGGAAUUCCAUGUGUAGCGGUGAAAUGCGUAGAUAUAUGGAGGAACACCAGUGGCGAAGGCGGCUCUCUGGUCUGUAACUGACGCUGAGGCUCGAAAGCGUGGGGAGCAAACAGGAUUAGAUACCCUGGUAGUCCACGCCGUAAACGAUGAGUGCUAAGUGUUGGAGGGUUUCCGCCCUUCAGUGCUGCAGCUAACGCAUUAAGCACUCCGCCUGGGGAGUACGACCGCAAGGUUGAAACUCAAAGGAAUUGACGGGGGCCCGCACAAGCGGUGGAGCAUGUGGUUUAAUUCGAAGCAACGCGAAGAACCUUACCAGGUCUUGACAUCCUUUGACCACUCUAGAGAUAGAGCUUCCCCUUCGGGGGCAAAGUGACAGGUGGUGCAUGGUUGUCGUCAGCUCGUGUCGUGAGAUGUUGGGUUAAGUCCCGCAACGAGCGCAACCCUUAUUGUUAGUUGCCAUCAUUUAGUUGGGCACUCUAGCAAGACUGCCGGUGACAAACCGGAGGAAGGUGGGGAUGACGUCAAAUCAUCAUGCCCCUUAUGACCUGGGCUACACACGUGCUACAAUGGGAAGUACAACGAGUCGCGAAGUCGCGAGGCUAAGCUAAUCUCUUAAAGCUUCUCUCAGUUCGGAUUGUAGGCUGCAACUCGCCUACAUGAAGCCGGAAUCGCUAGUAAUCGCGGAUCAGCACGCCGCGGUGAAUACGUUCCCGGGCCUUGUACACACCGCCCGUCACACCACGAGAGUUUGUAACACCCGAAGUCGGUGAGGUAACCUUUUUGGAGCCAG